rnacentral:lncRNA from 1 species
AGAAUCUCCACAGGCGUCGAGAUUCUGUUUUCGAAAAUAUAGAGGUUCCUUGCUGUCCAAAUGCCCCAAACGAUCCAUGGGAAGAUAUCUCCGGGCAGUCCCCACGGUGGUAACAUAAUGAUUGAGCCUGACGCCAAGAAAGCUUCACUAAAGGAGACACAGUUCGCUGGGUUGAAGCUCGAGGUCCAAAUUGUGUUACUCCAUAUCUGUCUAGUGUAGUAGCAAUGGAGGAAGAUGUGCUCUGCAGUUUCGACUUCUCCACAAUACCUGCAUGUCACAUUAGACAUAAGACCACGCUUUGCUAGGUUCCCUCCUAGAGCCAAAGCACCCUGGACUACUUUCCAUAAGAAUAGUUGGAGUUUUGGUGAGGUCUUGCGUUUCUAUAUCGCCUUAUAGAUCUGAUGAUAAUAUGUGGGUGCAUCUAUUUGAACUGCUGUAGCUACAUAAUAGCUAGACUUGGCUGAGUACAUCCCUGAUCUGGAAGCCAA